rnacentral:misc_RNA from 1 species
AUAAUUUAUGUAAUAUGGCAAAGUUGCAUGUUCGUAAUUUCUAAACAGAUAAAGAAACAGCGUCAAACAAGAUGUUGUAAAUCGUGAUUCUCAACAAUGUUUGAUGUUUCAAUAAAAUUGGAAAAAUGCUUUCGAAAAAAAGCUCUAUCAUUGACUUUCUAAAAAAAAAAAACCAAAAAGGAAAUGCCACAUCAAUUCGCGUGUCGAGCGAACAUCGUACAGUGGUAUUUCUGCCUUGUUCCUUUGGUCUUUUCAAGACUACUGAGGCCCUAAGUUCCUGAAUAAAGUUUCGUAUCCUGCGGAACGCCUUUAUAUCCGUCUUAUGUAGUCGCUUGGUAGUCGAUACGACAGUCGAGAUUCCUCGCGACGCGAAGAGCAGCAGCAGCAUGAUAAGAAACAGACGGAAUAAAGAGGGAUAAAAAGUAUCGAAAGAAGAUAGAGGAGAUCUCGUGGAAUGUCGAGCUGGAUGUUCGUCGCUCUACCUCCUUCCUCCCCCUCUCUAUUUCGUUCCUCUUUUCCGUCUCCUUACUGAUCCUGUGGUUUUCCGAUCUUUUUGUAUCCUCUAUCCUCUCUUUGAAUAGAGAGAAGGAAAGAGAAAAAACUGGAGAGGGAAGGAGGGGAGAUGAAGAGAAGAAACGAUGGAAUGAACGACAUAGAAAAGAGCGAGAUAGUGGAAGAGAGAAUAGCUCUUGAAACCAGUUCGAUCUAUAACAGACCCUUUGCAUCGGAUGUACGAAAAACGAAUACGCUCUAGCUAGUCCAUCGGCCAUGAGUUAUAGACGAAUCGAGCUGCGAGAUUCGAAACAACUGGCUAGCUUUAUUGAGGCACGUACUACAUCAACUAACCCACAGAAUUGACCGAAUCUUGCACAGAGGAAACGAGAUUGGAAUGCUUACAAGUUACACCGAAAGAUUGGAGUAGUUGCGACAGAUACGUUUGUCGUGCCAAUUUAGUGAGUCGGUUUCCUCGCCACGGAACUCAACUACUUGUCGGUGUAUUACACGAGCAUACAGCUGCAACGAGCAGCAAACAAAGUACUCGCUGCAGUAAUCCUGACCCACAUAGCACUCGAAGCGGCCCUUUAAGGGAAAAUGCAAACAACGCGAAGCAGCGGUCUUUGGUCUGCCGUACAAGUCUGGUCUUAAGUGGUCAUAAAAUCAUGAAAAAACUAUUGCGUGAUAUCUCAAGUUCCUCAAAGUAUAGCUCGUGCAAACUUUUCUGUAAAGAAGUUCCCUUGUAACUUUCCAAAGAUAGUCCUUGCAAUUAGACGAUAAAGAAGUGCAUAAAAAAAUUAAAACACACACACACACACACACACACAUUA